AACGAACGCUGGCGGCAUGCCUAACACAUGCAAGUCGUGCGAGAAAGUUCCUUCGGGAGCGAGUAAAGCGGCGCACGGGUGAGUAACACGUAGGUAACCUGCCCCCCAGUCUGGAACAACUAGAGGAAACUCUAGCUAAUGCCGGAUGAGACCACGAUCCCUUCGGGGGUUGCGGCCAAAGAUGGCCUCUACUUGUAAGCUAUCGCUGAGGGAUGGGCCUGCGGGCCAUUAGCUUGUUGGUGAGGUAACGGCUCACCAAGGCUGUGAUGGCUAGCUGGUCUGAGAGGAUGACCAGCCACACUGGGACUGAGACACGGCCCAGACUCCUACGGGAGGCAGCAGUGGGAAUAUUGCGCAAUGGGCGAAAGCCUGACGCAGCGACGCCGCGUGGGUGAUG
rnacentral:rRNA from 1 species